AUUGAACGCUGGCGGCAUGCUCUACACAUGCAAGUCGAACGGUAACAGGCCGCAAGGUGCUGACGAGUGGCGAACGGGUGAGUAAUGCAUCGGAACGUGCCCAGUCGUGGGGGAUAACUACUCGAAAGAGUAGCUAAUACCGCAUACGAUCUAUGGAUGAAAGCGGGGGACCGUAAGGCCUCGCGCGAUUGGAGCGGCCGAUGUCAGAUUAGGUAGUUGGUGGGGUAAAGGCUCACCAAGCCAACGAUCUGUAGCUGGUCUGAGAGGACGACCAGCCACACUGGGACUGAGACACGGCCCAGACUCCUACGAGAGGCAGCAGUGGGGAAUUUUGGACAAUGGGCGCAAGCCUGAUCCAGCAAUGCCGCGUGCAGGAAGAAGGCCUUCGGGUUGUAAACUGCUUUUGUACGGAACGAAACGGCUCUGGUUAAUACCCGGGGCUAAUGACGGUACCGUAAGAAUAAGCACCGGCUAACUACGUG
rnacentral:rRNA from 1 species